CAGCAGCCGCGGUAAUACGAAGGGUGCAAGCGUUAAUCGGAAUUACUGGGCGUAAAGCGUGCGUAGGCGGUUUGUUAAGUCUGUUGUGAAAUCCCCGGGCUCAACCUGGGAAUGGCAGUGGAUACUGGCUCGCUAGAGUGUGUCAGAGGAUGGUGGAAUUCCCGGUGUAGCGGUGAAAUGCGUAGAGAUCGGGAGGAACAUCAGUGGCGAAGGCGGCCAUCUGGGACAACACUGACGCUGAGGCACGAAAGCGUGGGGAGCAAACAGGAUUAGAUACCCGCGUAGUCCCUGUCUCUUAUAC
rnacentral:rRNA from 1 species